rnacentral:rRNA from 1 species
UACGGGGGGGGCAAGCGUUGUUCGGAAUUACUGGGCGUAAAGGGUUCGUAGGCGGCCAACUAAGUCAUACGUGAAAUCCCUCAGCUUAACUGGGGAACUGCGUGUGAUACUGGAUGGCUUGGAUUUGGGAGAGGGAUGCGGAAUUCCCGGUGUAGAGGUGAAAUUCGUAGAUAUCGGGAGGAACACCAGUGGCGAAGGCGGCGAUCUGGACAGAUAUUGACGCUGAGGUGCGAAAGCGUGGGGAGCAAACAGG